UACAGAGGGUGCAAGCGUUGUUCGGAAUUAUUGGGCGUAAAGCGCGUGUAGGCGGCUUUGCAAGUCGGGUGUGAAAGCCCUCAGCUCAACUGAGGAAGUGCGCCCGAAACUGCUUAGCUUGAGUAUCGGAGAGGAUGGCGGAAUUCCCCAAGUAGAGGUGAAAUUCGUAGAUAUUAGGAAGAACACCGGUGGCGAAGGCGGCCAUCUGGCUCGGUACUGACGCUCAGGCGCGAAAGCGUGGGGAGCAAACAGG
rnacentral:rRNA from 1 species